rnacentral:lncRNA from 1 species
AAUAUUGACACAACUGUUAAACAUGAUAACAAAAAUAAUAUUGUACUAGUAAAGCUAGUAAAAUUGAAUACAAUACUUAUAUCUUUCUCUUUUAAUCAAAUCCCAUAUUAUUUGUUAAAACUCAAGCUACCAUUGCUUUAAAUUUUAUAAAGUUUCAACAAUCAGUAGAAUUUCAUAAAUUAUUCUACUUAAAUUUAAUAUUAAAAAAAAAAAAUUGGAAAGUCAGACAAUCAUAAAAAAGAAGAAAAUAUUAUUAGUGUAGGGUUUAACCUCAUGUAUGUAGAGAUUUGCAAAUAUAGUUUGUGAGAUAAAAUUUGUGAAAGUAUAAAGAUCAAUUUUGAAUAGAUGGAUGGAGUAGGGGAAGAAUAAUAGAUGUAACUGAAAUGAGAAAUAAAGGGAGUGAGAGAAAAGUGGAAGAAGA